rnacentral:rRNA from 1 species
UACGUAGGGGGCAAGCGUUGUCCGGAAUUAUUGGGCGUAAAGCGCGCGCAGGCGGUCGAUUAAGUCUGGUGUUUAAGGCUGUGGCUCAACCACAGUUCGCACUGGAAACUGGUCGACUUGAGUGCAGAAGAGGAAAGUGGAAUUCCACGUGUAGCGGUGAAAUGCGUAGAGAUGUGGAGGAACACCAGUGGCGAAGGCGGCUCUCUGGUCUGUAACUGACGCUGAGGCGCGAAAGCGUGGGGAGCAAACAGG